rnacentral:rRNA from 1 species
GGAGGAAAAGAAACCAACAGGGAUUGCCCUAGUAACGGCGAGUGAAGCGGCAACAGCUCAAAUUUGAAAGCUGGCUCCGGCCCGCAUUGUAAUUUGCAGAGGAUGCUUCUGGUGAGGUGCCUUCCGAGUUCCCUGGAACGGGACGCCAUAGAGGGUGAGAGCCCCGUAUGGAUGGACACCAAACCUGUGUGAAGCUCCUUCAACGAGUCGAGUAGUUUGGGAAUGCUGCUCUAAAUGGGAGGUAAAUCUCUUCUAAAGCUAAAUACCGGCCAGAGACCGAUAGCGCACAAGUAGAGUGAUCGAAAGAUGAAAAGCACCUUGAAAAGGGGGUUAAACAGUACGUGAAAUUGUUGAAAGGGAAGCGCUUGUGACCAGACUUGCGCCGGGCAGCUCAUCAGGGGUUCUCCCCUGUGCACUCUGCCCGGCUCAGGCCAGCAUCGGUUCUCGUGGGAGGAUAAGAACGGUAGGAACGUGGCCCCCCUCCGGGGGGGUGUUAUAGCCUACCGUACGAUACUCCCGUGGGGACCGAGGUUCGCGCUCCGCAAGGAUGCUGGCGUAAUGGUCAUCAGCGACCCGUCUUGAAACACGGACCAAGGAGUCGUCCAUUAGAGCGAGCGUUUGGGUGUAAAACCCGCACGCGUAAUGAAAGUGAACGCAGGUGAGAGCUUCGGCGCAUCAUCGACCGAUCCUGAUGUCUUCGGAUGGAUUUGAGUAAGAGUUUUAACGGACGGACCCGAAAGACAGUGAACUAUGCUUGUAUAGGGUGAAGCCAGAGGAAACUCUGGUGGAGGCUCGCAGCGGUUCUGACGUGCAAAUCGAUCGUCAAAUAUGAGCAUGGGGGCGAAAGACUAAUCGAACUGUCUAGUAGCUGGUUACCGC